rnacentral:sRNA from 1 species
GUGGGAACUCUACUUGCCAUUCCU